rnacentral:misc_RNA from 1 species
AUACCAUGGCUACCCUUGUUGUUCCUCAGAAUGUUUCUGUUGUUGAAGAUGCAGAAAAUCUCAGAAAAGCUUUUGAAGGAUGGGGGACAAAUGAGAAGGUUAUAAUUUCAGUUCUUGCGCAUAGAAAUGCAGCUCAAAGGAAACAGAUCAGGCUAGCUUAUUGGGACCUUUACCAAGAAGAUCUUGUUAAGCGUCUUGAAUCUGAGAUCAAGGGAGAUUUUGAGAGAGCUGUGUACAGAUGGAUAUUGGACCCAGAAGACAGAGAUGCAGUAUUAGCGAAUGUGGCUCUAAAGAAAUCUUCUGAUUAUCAUGUGAUCGUUGAAAUUGCUUGCGUUCGAUCUUCAGAAGAGCUCUUGGCUGUGAGGAGGGCUUACCAUGCUCGCUACAAGCAUUCCUUAGAAGAAGAUGUGGCAGUUCAUACCACCGGCGAUAUCAGGAAGCUCUUGCUAGGGUUGGUGACAGCUUUUAGGUAUGAAGGUGCUGAAGUAAAUUCAAGAUUGGCCAAAUCUGAAGCUGAUAUUCUUCAUGAUGCGAUCAAGGACAAGAAGAUUAACCAUGAUGAAGUGAUUAGGAUCUUAACUACAAGGAGCAAGACACAGCUCAUGGCUACCUUCAACAGCUUCAAAGACAGCCAGGGCACUUCCAUCACUAAGGUUCUGUUGGGUGAGACUGCUGAUAACGAGUACAAACGAUUGCUCCGCAUAGCCAUUCGAUGCAUCAACGAACCUAUUAAGUACUAUGAGAAGGUUUUGAGGAAUGCAUUCAAAAAGUUUGGGAAUGAUGAGGAUGCAAUUACUAGAGUGAUUGUCACAAGGGCAGAGAAGGACUUGCAACUAAUCAAGGAGCUUUACUACAGCAGGAACAGUGUGCCUCUUGAUCAAGCAGUGGCCAAGGAAACUUCUGGGGAUUACAAGGAUUUCCUGCUUGCUCUGCUAGGAAAGCAGGAUUAAGAUUAGUAUCUUAAUCAUUU